GACGAACGCUGGCGGCGUGCCUACUACAUGCAAGUAGAUCGCAGUUGCCAACGGGUGAGUAACGCGUAGGUAACUGCCUGGCAGCGGGGGAUAACUAUUGGAAACGAUAGCUAAUACCGCAUACUACCAGAUGGACCUGCGUUGUAUUAGCUAGUUGGUGGGGUAACGGCUCACCAAGGCAACGAUACAUAGCCGAACGCAGAGGGUGAUCGGCCACACUGGGACUGAGACACGGCCCAGACGCCUACGGGAGGCAGCAGUAGGGAAUCUUCGGCAAUGGGUGGAACCCUGACCGAGCAACGCCGCGUGAGUGAAGAAGGUUUUCGGAGCGUAAAGCGCUGGAUGUAAGGAAGCGGGACGUAACCAGAGAGGGACGGCUAAGUACGUGCCAACAGCCGCGGUAAUAC
rnacentral:rRNA from 1 species